AUUAAACGCUGGCGGCAUGCCUUACACAUGCAAGUCGAACGGUAACAGGUUAAGCUGACGAGUGGCGAACGGGUGAGUAAUGUAUCGGAACGUGCCCAGUCGUGGGGGAUAACUGCUCGAAAGAGCAGCUAAUACCGCAUACGACCUGAGGGUGAAAGCGGGGGAUCGCAAGACCUCGCGCGAUUGGAGCGGCCGAUAUCAGAUUAGGUAGUUGGUGAGGUAAAGGCUCACCAAGCCGACGAUCUGUAGCUGGUCUGAGAGGACGACCAGCCACACUGGGACUGAGACACGGCCCAGACUCCUACGGGAGGCAGCAGUAGGGAAUUUUGGACAAUGGGCGCAAGCCUGAUCCAGCCAUGCCGCGUGCGGGAAGAAGGCCUUCGGGUUGUAAACCGCUUUUGUCAGGGAAGAAAAGGUUCUGGCUAAUACCUGGGACUCAUGACGGUACCUGAAGAAUAAGCACCGGCUAACUACGUG
rnacentral:rRNA from 1 species